GAUGAACGCUAGCUACAGGCUUAACACAUGCAAGUCGAGGGGCAGCACAGGGUGGCAACACUUGGGUGGCGACCGGCGCACGGGUGAGUAACACGUAUCCAACCUUCCCUUACUCCGGGAUAGCCCAUCGAAAGAUGGAUUAACACCGGAUGGUUUCGCGGGAUUGCAUGAUAUCGCGAAUAAAGUUUUACGGUAAAGGAUGGGGAUGCGUUCCAUUAGCUUGUUGGCGGGUAACGGCCCACCAAGGCUACGAUGGAUAGGGGUUCUGAGAGGAAGGUCCCCCACAUUGGAACUGAGACACGGUCCAAACUCUUACGGGAGGCAGGCAGUGAGGAAUAUUGGUCAAUGGACGAGAGUCUGAACCAGCCAAGUAGCGUGCAGGAUGACGGCCUAUGGGUUGUAAACUGCUUUUAUAAGGGAAUAAAGUGAGCCUCGUGAGGCUUUUUGCAUGUACCUUAUGAAUAAGGACCGGCUAAUUCCGUGCCAAGCAGCCGCAGU
rnacentral:rRNA from 1 species